rnacentral:rRNA from 1 species
AACGAACGCUGGCGGCAGGCCUAACACAUGCAAGUCGAGCGGACCCUUCGGGGUUAGCGGCGGACGGGUGAGUAACGCGUGGGAACGUGCCCUUUGCUUCGGAAUAGCCCUGGGAAACUGGGAGUAAUACCGGAUACGCCCUUUUGGGGAAAGAUUUAUCGGCGAAGGAUCGGCCUGCGUUGGAUUAGGUAGUUGGUGGGGUAAUGGCCUACCAAGCCGACGAUCCAUAGCUGGUUUGAGAGGAUGAUCAGCCACACUGGGACUGAGACACGGCCCAGACUCCUACGGGAGGCAGCAGUGGGGAAUCUUAGACAAUGGGGGAAACCCUGAUCUAGCCAUGCCGCGUGAGCGAUGAAGGCCUUAGGGUUGUAAAGCUCUUUCACCGGGGAAGAUAAUGACGGUACCCGGAGAAGAAGCCCCGGCUAACUCCGUG